UCCAAAACUUAUUAAAAGGCAUAUAAUUUCUUGAAACAACAUGAUAGAAUAAAGGCAUAUAAUUUCUCACACCUUCUCUUUGAUCCAAUUUUUUCCACUUGGACCACUGAGAAUGAAUAAAGUUGCAGCUACAUACUUGAUUUGUUACCUUUCAUAAUAAUUCACAUCUCCUUUAUGGUAUUCUCUCUUUUUGAGACCUUUUAUAAUAUGUAGUAUCCUUCUUUCAUAUGCUUUCAUUACUUGCUUAGGUUUAUUUCUACAAACCAAAAUGGACUAGUCCUCUAAUAUGUAACUUUUUUUGGCCCCAUUUAAAUCCUUUUUUUUUACUGCUGAAAGUUCCUCAUUUUCUUGUCUUAGAUUUUGCCAUUAUAGGCUUCAAUUCCCAUACAAGAGUUCUCCAUCCCUAUCUUCAUACCACAUACACAUACCUCUUCCUAAGAUUUUGUUUUGGCAUUUAAAUUAGGUGAAUCUACAGCUUUAUUUUUUUUUCCUUUCUAUGAUUGAAGGUGUUGAAGCAGGGCUAGGACUGCUUGAACUAAGAUAUUGAGGUGUGCUUUGAUUCAGAGUUGAAUUGUGAUAAAAAUUCUCUGCAUAAAAAUUCCUUAUUUUUUCCUUUUUAAAUAAUUAUUGUCCAUUAAAGAAGGCAAGUACACGAUAAGGUAUAAAUUAUAAUGCAUUGUCAUUGGCUUGUGAUAGUCAUAGCAAUAGCAUAUAUAGUUGAAGUACCAUAAUCAAAGCCCAUCCAUAAGAUAAAUUAGAGGGCCUUUACACUUACCAUGAUAUGAUAUGAAUACAUUAAUGGCUUUUGUAGUUACUUAUUUUAUUUUAUUUUUCUUUGACUGUGUACCCUUUAAUCCAAUAGUUAUAAUUACUUAUUUUAUUUUAUUUAAUCCAAUAGUUGUAGUAAAGCCUAUCUUCUUAUAAACUCUUAUUUAUAAUAAUUUUAUUGAUAGAAAAUCAAUUCACUAUGUACUAUUUAACUAGUAGGAGAUAUCAUGUAGAUAGAUUAAGAAGAAAAUACAGAAGAAAUUCAGAAAACAUCAAACCUUUUUUUCUUUUUUCAGGUUUUGUUGUAUGUUAAUUUUUCUAAAAAAUUAUAUUAACUUAUUUUAGUUGUAUGUUGAUUUUGCAAUUUUUGGUUGUUUCUGCAAGCUUCUAAACCUUCCCCUGCCCCUUCAUCAUUAGAAAUAUUCUUUUCUUGUUCUGAUAGAAAGUUUCUGCCAUCCUGAUUUGUCUAUAUUCUUUGCACUGCUUCUAGGGAGGGACAAGCGUCUAGUUAAGUCUUUGGUUGUUGGAAGGCCAAUUCUUCUAGCACUAGAAGAUAUUGAUGGAGGUCCUUCUUUCCUUGAAAAAGCUCUUCGAUUUCUAGAGAAGUACAGUAUGAACUAAAGUUAAAGGAAUUCUAAAACAGUUAGCAGAUGUCGAAGAGGUUGAUAGGAUAGUUCAAGAAUAUGAGCAAGCAUUUAGAAGAUAUGAAGCAACAUGGUGGCUUAGAAAAGUGGUUGGAGUUAUUGCGGCCAAAGAUUUACCAACUAAACCCUCUAAGGAAGAGUUUAAUUUACUCACUUUUCUCGGAUUGUUUGUUUAAUAUUUACUAAUGUCUACAAUGUGUUCUUUAUUUUAAGGUUGUGGAGAGUCCUGUUGAGUCUGCAUUGAUCCCGGAUGGGGCACCAUUAUUGGCAUAUUAGUACUUCGAAAAUGUGAGAAAUUUUCUGGUUGCUGUCCAAUUAUAUAAGAGAAUGAUAUUACUGUAAAAUUAGUAUGUUAAUUGGUGUUAUCUUGUGCUAUUAGAUGACAAAUAGGGAGCACUUGAAUUCCUCAAGUUAAUAUUAGUAUGAAUUUUAUUAUUUUGUUA